AUAAAGAUCACAACAGAGUGCCACAUUAUUGCGUAAAAGAAAAAGAGUUUGAUUUCCUAAGUCGGGUACUAGAGAACUUUUUCUAAAUCAUGUUGAGGACCUCGUGGAUGCUACAAAAUAUAUAAGUUCUGCCAUAAGUAUAUCAAAUAAAACUCGUACAACAAUUACUAUCCUAGAGAUUUUAGAAGAGAUAUCUAAAAUUCCUGAUAUAUUUGACGAUUUUGAGUUAUAUUGCUUUGCCUUAGAAUACUUUAAAGAUAAGGAUAACCGGGAAAUAUUCAUGGGAAUACCCAUGGAAAGAAGAUUAUGGUGGCUUCGAAGGAGUUUUGAUAAAACUUUCUUUUAACUGCCCAUUGAAGAAGAAGGAAUAAGCAAGUACCUAAUAGCUCCAUCUCUUCAAAAUUGAAAUCAACAUUUACACCAUGUUUUAUGUUCUGUUCUUGUAGUUGUUGUUUUUGUUUUUAGUUAGGUUAAUAACUUAUUUCCUUUGUGUUUAUUUAGGUUGUUGCUUAUUUCUUUAUACGGUUCUGGAUAUAAUUAUGUUUUGUUACUUUACUAAUUCUUCAUUCUACUUUCAGUAGUGGGACAAAGGCUUGUUCUUUUUGUUCUUGGGAGACACUUUCUUUCCUUGAAUGUCAAAGAAGCUACCUUUAUUAUACUCUCAACUUGAGAAUUUGAAUAUAUCUCUACAACUUCAUGUGUUUUUAUACUAUUUGGUUAAGAAGCUGGUUAAACAAUUGUGAUUUCCACAUGAAAAAACCCACCAAGAUGCAUAUUUGAGCUAGGCUUACAGCAUUGAUCUUCUUUGAAUGUUGUUCUGGUGUUAGUUGAGUUUGAUAGUUAAAUCAAUCUAUUGACUCAACGACCUUGAUCAAGUGUGAGAAAUGAGGUGUCACUAUGAAUGCUGAGAUCAGUUGCUCUACGCAGUUUGUAUGCAUGGGAUUUGUUUAUUUUCUUUUUUGUGGUUAAAUCAUUUGCUUGUUAAUGGGGUUUUAAAAUGAAAUUUUAAUCUUGUUGGUUUUAUCAAUUGCUUGAAUGAUUGUUGAUUUACAAUGAUUCACUUAAGUCUAUGGGAUGUACUAUUUUGAUAUUUUCUCCUUAAUUGCUUGAACCCUUAUAAAUUGUGAAAACUUCAACAACAACAACAACAAAAAAUUAAUCUCCUAAGAUGGAUUGGAUGAAGUCAAGCCAGCUAACAAGCUAAGCUCGCUUUGGAUUGAAUUUGAAUUGAGCAGAACUUGAAUUUCCAAGGUUUAAUUACAGGAUCUCCCCAAUGAUUGGAAGUUCAGAUAGCUCGAAAAAAUAAUUACAAGAUCUUUCUAGCCCAUAAAAAAAGUUAAUUACUUAUUUUCAUAAUCUAAUGUUGAAAAAGUUCUGGCACCACACAUUUAACAUCUUAUUUAGAACAUCCUAAUAUUGGAUUACGGGAACUUUUUGCUUGCUAGACCUUUUCGAUGUGAAGAGUUUCUAUGCUUCAUUUUCUUUAUUUACUACUCAGUAUAAAAAUUAGCAUUUAUCCUUUUCAAAAAUCUUGUUUAUUAACAUGGUAAAAUUGUUACCUAUACUUAAAAAAAAAAAAAACUAUUUUAUUUGUAUAUGAGAGAACAAAGUAGAGUUUUACUCUACCGAACAACCAUAUCCCAUCGUACUUGAUCAGCUAUGCUUUGAUGAAUGUAUCACAAAUGGUCCAUAGGAAGCACAAACUUGUAUUUUGAGGAGAAGACAGAAUUACAUAAAAGAAAGCACAAGACCUUGUGCACUGUUCUAUACUUUCACAAGAGGGAGGGAGGAAGAGAGAGAGAUGAAAAGUACCGGUCUAGUUAUUCAGUUCUAUUAAGUCUCUGCUUCUUUAAACAUUUUUCUUUUUUGCUUUUGAUUUCAAUGAGUCAAAGGGAGGACCAACAUGGAAUGUUCCAACCGGAAGAAAGGAUGGCAUUGUCUCCAGAGCUUCAGAGGCCUUAGAAAGCAUUCCAGCCCCUACUUUUAAUAUUAAGUUUUCUUCAAAAAAAUUUUUACAGAAAAGGGCUAAACAUCACCGAUCUUGUAUUAUUAUCUGGUAAGUUCAACAACACUAACUUGCUAGCAUUCUUUGAGCAAGUUCAACAUCACUGAUAUUGUAUUAUUGAGCAAGUUCAAACUUAGUAGAAGCUAGGCUUACAGCAUUAACCUUCUUUGAAUGUUGUUCUGGUGUAAGUUGAGUUUGAUAGUUAAAUCAUUCUAUUGACUCAACGACCUUUAUUCAAAUUCUUCAUUCAAUGGCCAUCAAUCAACGCCGGACAGUGCUACAUAUGAAAUCCUUUUAAGGCAAUCUUCAUGAGGCCAUUUAUAUGAAGCAGCAUAUUGGGGAUGUUGUUUAGGGGGAGAGUAAAGUAUAUUCUCUCUUCUUCUUAUCUAACCAAUCAUUGAGAAGGGAGUACUAUUAGGCUUCACUGUUAAUAUUUCUGCUUUUAUGUAAUCAGCUGAAUGAUGUCUUCUAUUUUUUAUUAGUAAUAAUCACUAAAUUAUUAUAUAUCAUUUAGUAAUUUGUAGUGUUUGUACUGUUCCAAAUCAAUAAUGGCAGAGGAUUUGUUAAAUUUUAUGGAAGACGAAGUACUUGAUGAUAUGUCAGAAGUUAAUGAGCGUAAAGGAGUGGCAGAAUUUACUCAUAUAAUACUCACAACGACAUGUGCAAUUCAUGAUUAUUAUGCAUUGUAUGUUUGCAAGAAUCCUUGCAUGACAUCAGCUCAAACGGGAGAUAAAUGGUUGUGUGAGUUGUUGCAUGGCCAUCCAAAUAGAUUUCAUAACAUGUUCAGAAUGUCACAAGUUAUUUUUAUGGACUUAGUUUCUUUGUUGGAAUCAUCAUAUGGUUUACAUGAAACUCGGAGAAUUACUACUCGAGAGGUACUUGCAAUAACUUUGUAUGUUUUGGGACAUAUUGAGCGUAUUAGAUCAACAUGUGAACGCUUUUAGCACUCUACAGAGACGAUUAGUAGGUUUUUUUAUAAUGGUUUGCAAGCAUUAGUUUGAUUAUCAAUGGAGAUUAUUGCACCUGGAGAUAAAUUUUUUCAUGAUAUUCCUGAAAAAAUAAUUAAUGACACACGGUACAUGUCAUACUUUAAAGAUUGCAUUGGUGUUAUUGAUGGCACACACGUUGAUGCACGCAUCCCUGUUGAAGAACAGGCCGCUUAUAUUGGACGCUAUCAUUCACUGACACAAAAUGUGAUUGCUGCAUGUGAUUUCAACAUGUGUUUCACAUUUGUUUCACCUGGUUGGGAGGGUUCGGCACAUGCUGUGCGUAUAUUUAAACAUGCAGUGAUGGAUCCGAAAUAUAAUUUUCCUGCACCACCUCCAGGUAUCACUAAUUUAUAGAAUGAAAUUAUUAUAUUUAUAAAUUAGGUUAUGUUGUAUACUAAUUAACAAAUUUAUGAACAUGAAAGUUUUACUUAGUUGAUGCAGGUUACCCUCUACAAAGGGGAUAUUUGAGGCCAUACUUGGGAACCAGAUAUCACAUACCAGAUUUUAGAAGAGGGCAUAUCAAUGCAGAGUAGGAGAGCAAAUUGAAGAAAGUAAUGUGUUAUAUGCUGAAGUAGAGUCUGGUGAUGAUGAUGGGGUGAAUGAAAUGAUUGAACUGAGAGAGAAAAAUGCAUUUGAACUAUGCAAUUAGAACAGGAAACAAAUUCAGUUAUCAUCCUGAGAAGGAGAUGAUGACAUGGUUGCUUAUGUUUUAGUUAGG